rnacentral:rRNA from 1 species
AUUGAACGCUGGCGGCGGGCCUAACACAUGCAAGUCGAACGAGUGGCGGACGGGUGAGUAAUGUCUGGGAAACUGCCUGAUGGAGGGGGAUAACUACUGGAAAGGGUAGCUAAUACCGCAUACCGUCGGGUGUGCCCCGCUGGGAUUAGCUAGUAGGUGGGGUAGAGGCGCACCUAGGCGACGAUCCCUAGCUGGUCUGCGAGGAGGACCAGCCACACCGGAACUGAGAGACGGUCCAGACUCCUACGGGAGCUAGCAGUGGGGAAAAUUGCACAAUGGGCGCAAGCCUGAUGCAGCCAUGCCGCGUGUAUGAAGAAGGCCUUCGGGUUGUAAAGUACUUUCAGCUGGGAGGCGGUACCCGCAGAAGAAGCACCGGCUAACUCCGUGCCAGCAGCCGCGGUAAUAC